rnacentral:rRNA from 1 species
GGAUAACACUUGGAAACAGGUGCUAAUACCGUAUAACACUAUUUUCCGCAUGGAAGAAAGUUGAAAGGCGCUUUUGCGUCACUGAUGGAUGGACCCGCGGUGCAUUAGCUAGUUGGUGAGGUAACGGCUCACCAAGGCCACGAUGCAUAGCCGACCUGAGAGGGUGAUCGGCCACACUGGGACUGAGACACGGCCCAGACUCCUACGGGAGGCAGCAGUAGGGAAUCUUCGGCAAUGGACGAAAGUCUGACCGAGCAACGCCGCGUGAGUGAAGAAGGUUUUCGGAUCGUAAAACUCUGUUGUUAGAGAAGAACAAGGAUGAGAGUAGAACGUUCAUCCCUUGACGGUAUCUAACCAGAAAGCCACGGCUAACUACGUGCCAGCAGCCGCGGUAAUACGUAGGUGGCAAGCGUUGUCCGGAUUUAUUGGGCGUAAAGCGAGCGCAGGCGGUUUCUUAAGUCUGAUGUGAAAGCCCCCGGCUCAACCGGGGAGGGUCAUUGGAAACUGGGAGACUUGAGUGCAGAAGAGGAGAGUGGAAUUCCAUGUGUAGCGGUGAAAUGCGUAGAUAUAUGGAGGAACACCAGUGGCGAAGGCGGCUCUCUGGUCUGUAACUGACGCUGAGGCUCGAAAGCGUGGGGAGCGAACAGGAUUAGAUACCCUGGUAGUCCACGCCGUAAACGACGCCUAUAGAGUGUUGGAGGGUUUCCGCCCUUCAGUGCUGCA